AACGAACGCUGGCGGCAGGCUUAACACAUGCAAGUCGAACGCCCCGCAAGGGGAGUGGCAGACGGGUGAGUAACGCGUGGGAAUCUACCCAUCCCUACGGAACAACUCCGGGAAACUGGAGCUAAUACCGUAUACGCCCUACGGGGGAAAGAUUUAUCGGGGAUGGAUGAGCCCGCGUUGGAUUAGCUAGUUGGUGGGGUAAAGGCCUACCAAGGCGACGAUCCAUAGCUGGUCUGAGAGGAUGAUCAGCCACAUUGGGACUGAGACACGGCCCAAACUCCUACGGGAGGCAGCAGUGGGAAUAUUGGACAAUGGGCGCAAGCCUGAUCCAGCCAUGCCGCGUGAGUGAUGAAGGUCUUAGGAUUGUAAAGCUCUUUCACCGGAGAAGAUAAUGACGGUAUCCGGAGAAGAAGCCCCGGCUAACUUCGUGCCAGCAGCCGCGGUAA
rnacentral:rRNA from 1 species